rnacentral:rRNA from 1 species
UAGUCUGGGAAACUGCCUGAUGGAGGGGGGUAACUACUGAAACGGUAGCUAAUACCGCAUAGCGUCGCAAGACCAAAGAGGGGGACCUUAGGGCCUCUUGCCAUCGGAUGUGCCCAGAUGGGAUUAGCUAGUAGGUGGGGUAACGGCUCACCUAGGCGACGAUCCCUAGCUGGUCUGAGAGGAUGACCAGCCACACUGGAACUGAGACACGGUCCAG